UAAUAUUUUCAAAUAAAAAAAGAAACUAGUUUUUAGCCCGAAUAAUGUCCUAGGUCAUUAUAAAAUGAAAUUAGAAUCGUUAUUAAGGUAAAUCCUUAUUUAAUAGCGAUUAAUUAAAUACCCAGUUUAGAAGGUGUAAAGCAUAAAAGAGAGGACUAAACUUUAGUCUUUGUUGCAGUUUGGGGACUAAACUUUCACUUGUUGCAGGAGGGGACUCAAACAAGUAUUCAGAUAGUAUUUACCUUUAGUAUUAGUUUCUUCCUAAGCUUCUCCUAUUCUAUCACCCAAAUCAUCAGUUCACUCUCCAAAUGGGUCUGCUAUGGUGGAAGUGUAAGGACAAGGCAUUGGAGGCCAUAUCACCACCGGAGAAUUCUAAAUCAAAACCCAGCGAAGCAGUGAAAGGUGUGAACGGAACCGUCGAAGUUCGCUGCACUGGCCCUUGCUGCGUCGAGGCAACCAUUUUCGAAUUCGGGUCGGUUGCAGCUUCUCAGGCUUGCAGGAAAAUGCCUUUGUUUUUAAGAACUCGAGCCUUGCCGUUGGGAAAUUCUCCCAACCGAUGAUUCUAAUGCCCCCCAAUUUCGGGUUGUAUUCUUAUCGAUCUACUUUUUUUUUUCUUUUUUUUUUUUUCAAUGAGAUAGGAUUAAGUGUUUUCUUGUAACAGUUUACUAUGUAUAAAUUUAGCUGAAAUUUGUGAUUAUUUUGUGGGUGAAUUCGAGUUGUGAAAGAGAAAAGAAAACGAGAUAUGGUUGUUUGGGAGAUUGGUUGAUGGUUAUUGAAAAUUGUUAUCCUGUAGUUUUGAUUUAA